AUACUUACCUGGCUGGGGAGCUGCCUUGAUCAUGAAGGAGGCGCUCCCAGGGUGAGGCCUUUCCAUUGCACUUCGGAUUGGCUGACCCCUGUGAUUACCCCAAAUGGGGGUAACUCAACAGCGUAAUUUUUGGUAGUGGGGGACUGCGUUCGCGCGGACCCCUG
rnacentral:snRNA from 1 species